UACGUAGGGGGCAAGCGUUGUCCGGAUUUAUUGGGCGUAAAGAGCUCGUAGGCGGCUCGGUAAGUCGGAUGUGAAACCUCCAGGCUCAACCUGGAGACGCCAUCUGAUACUGCCGUGGCUUGAGUCCGGUAGAGGAGCAGGGAAUUCCUGGUGUAGCGGUGAAAUGCGCAGGUAUCAGGAGGAACACCAGCGGCGAAGGCGCUGCUCUGGGCCGGUACUGACGCUGAGGAGCGAAAGCCAGGGGAGCAAACGGG
rnacentral:rRNA from 1 species